GACGAACGCUGGCGGCGUGCUUAACACAUGCAAGUCGAGCGGAGCGGCGAACGGGUGAGUAACGCGUGAGUAACUGCCCCCCUCUCUGGGAUCACAGUUGGAAACGGCUGCUAAUACCGGAUAGUGGGGGAUGACUCGCGUGCUAUCAGCUUGUUGGGUGGGUAGUGGCCUACCAAGGCGACGACGGGUAGCCGGCCUGAGAGGGCGACCGGCCACAUGGGGCUGAGAUACGGCCCAAACGCCAACGGGAGGCAGCAGAGGGGAGUAUUGCACAGUGAGGCAAACCCUGAUGAUGCAACGCCGCGGGCGGGAGGACGGGCUUCGAGAUGUAAACAGCUUUCAGCGAUGACGCGGUAGUGGCAGAAGAAGCACCGGCUAACUACGUGCCAGCAGCCGCGGUAAUAC
rnacentral:rRNA from 1 species